GAGCUAUACAUAUUAAUGGCUUUCAGUCUGUUUUAUCAUAUCCCCUCUCCCUUCUCCCCCCCAAGCUAUACAUAUUAAUGGCUUUCAGUCUGUUUUAUCAUAUCCCCCUCUCCCUUCUCCCCCCCGAGCUAUACAUAUUAAUGGCUUUCAGUUUGUUUUAUCAUAUCCUCCUCUCCCUUCUCCCCCCAAGCUAUACAUAUUAAUGGCUUUCAGUCUGUUUUAUCAUAUCCCCCUCUCCCUUCUCCCCCCGAGCUAUACAUAUUAAUGGCUUUCAGUCUGUUUUAUCAUAUCACCCUCUCCCUUCUCCCCCCGAGCUAUACAUAUUAAUGGCUUUCAGUCUGUUUUAUCAUAUCACCCUCUCCCUU